rnacentral:rRNA from 1 species
GACGAACGCUGGCGGCGUGCCUAAUACAUGCAAGUCGAGCGGACUGAAUGGGAGCUUGCUCUUGUUCGGUCAGCGGCGGACGGGUGAGUAACACGUGGGCAACCUGCCCGCAAGACCGGGAUAACUCCGGGAAACCGGAGCUAAUACCGGAUAACACCGAAGACCGCAUGGUCUUUGGUUGAAAGGCGGCGCAAGCUGCCACUUGCGGAUGGGCCCGCGGCGCAUUAGUUAGUUGGUGAGGUAACGGCUCACCAAGGCGACGAUGCGUAGCCGGCCUGAGAGGGUGACCGGCCACACUGGGACUGAGACACGGCCCAGACUCCUACGGGAGGCAGCAGUAGGGAAUCUUCCGCAAUGGGCGAAAGCCUGACGGAGCGACGCCGCGUGAGCGAAGAAGGCCUUCGGGUCGUAAAGCUCUGUUGUGAGGGACGAAGGAGCGCCGUUUGAAGAAGGCGGCGCGGUGACGGUACCUCACGAGGAAGCCCCGGCUAACUACGUG